rnacentral:sRNA from 1 species
AAAUCUGGCUGCUCUCCAAGAACCUGGGUGGCUCACAAGGCAGAAGAAACACUGAAUUCUAUCUGUUUAAUGAAUAAGAUUCAGAGAAAAAGAGGGUGGAUGUUCUGAGAAGAGGAUUGAGGAACAAUCAAUAAGGUUGGUUAUAAUAUGACUACAAUACUCAGUAUAAUCACCUCCAUAGAUUGAUCAUCAUAUUCUCCUGAUCUGAACCCAAUUGAAGCUGUAUGGAAUCUUGUGAAGCAGUGGAUACAGGAGAAACAUGGGGAUGAGGAGAAUCUUUCUUAUAAUGCACAAAAGAUGGUUAGAAAUGCCUGGGACUUUAUAACAAGGGAGCAGCUACAGGAGCUUAUUGCAGAGAUGCCUGGCUCACUGUCAGGCAAUUAUAGAGGU